CCAAAAGAUCGAAUGGGGAGAUUCAUCGUCAGCUGCUUUGGCUUUCGUGUGGUGCGCGAUGAUCGGGGCCUCGUGCUCUGCGUCACGUGCCCGCUGCGGUAUGUCCGAAGUAGUCGGCGUGCACUUCUCCCCUAGUAGGACGUCGCGACCCGUUGGGUGCUGGUCUACGGCCCGGUAGGUCGACUGGCGAGUCUCGUUCACGCGUGCACUCGUCAGACCUCUGGAUGCCCGACCGGCUGCCCGGCGGUAUAGAACGAUAAUUAAACGGUAUUGGGCCGCAUUAAGUGCGUUCAGGCUCGUCGGCAGGCUCGCCUCGCUCGGAUUUACGGACCUAGUGCCGUUGCCGAGCGCUUGGUGUGGCUGUUGGUCGACGAUGUCCUUGGACUGGCUCUUUAUAUUCGAAUGGAUAUACCGGUCGGCGACGCUACUGCUUUGGGUACUUUCAGGAC
rnacentral:rRNA from 1 species